GCCUUGACCAUCUAUGAUUCUUUGAUCUGUUUGAUGGAGUAGGGCCAAAAACUGGCUUCUGGUUCGGGCAGCAAUGGGAGAAGUCCACUGAGGCGACAGAGGAGGGAAUUUAAGAGAAGUCCUUUCCAUCUUAGGUGUCUCCCUCUAGCUAUUUCACUUUGUCCCUUCUGGUGUCCCUUGCAAUGCAUCACUGCUUCUGUCUUUGGCAUCUUGACAGCAGCUAUGAGUCUCUCAAUUAGAAAGUUUAAUUUCUUUUCCUGGUGCUGUUAAGAGCCACCUCUCCUUAUCUCCACUGGAACCAUGUGCUUUGCUUCCACGGAUCUGAGUCAUCCAUGCAGGGCUAAAAGACAUGAGAACGAGGUUCCCUCCCCCCUUUGUGGGUGAGAAAAAGCAUUGCAGAAUUAGAAAAGGGCGGGGGUAGAUAGCUUGUGGUCAAAGUUUGAAAGUACAGCAACACAUCAGUAUUGUAGUUAAGUGAACUUAAAACGUAUCCUCAUAAACUUGAGUUUAUCUUGAAGCACAGAGAAGAAAGAAAAGUUGAAUUCUGUUCUUCACCCUGUCUAGAUGACCAGACCAAACUGGGUGAAUGAACAAGCUAUCAGAAAACAACAGAUGGGGAGAUACCACCAGCUUUAAGACCAUUUCAAUGUCUUCAUGUGGAUUUUACAGAAUUACCAAAAGUGGGGAGAGUAAAAUAUUUAUUAGUCAUAGUGGACCACCUCACAGGGUGGGUUGAAGCUUUUCUCUGCAAUAAUGCUACAGCAACAGUGGUGUCAAGAGUUUUACCCAACCUACACAGAUUAUCAUCAUAUGAACUGUUGUUUGGAGUAGUUUUUACUACAGGAAGCAUGUGCAUUAAUUCCCUGGAAACCAGAGACAAAGUAUUGAAACAAUAUGUGUAUAAACUGUCCAGAUAUUUUGAAGUUUUUAGGAAACAAGGACUAUUAGCCCAAACACCACCUUUGAAGUUUCCAGUCCACAAAUUCCACCACGAUGAUUGGAUGUUGAUCCGGAGCUGGACGGAAGUUAAACCCUAGUGAAAGGGCCCGUGCCAGCCCCAAAGGAGUGGAAGGUGGAAUCUCACCAAGGAGAUCCAUUGAAGUUGCCGAUCCAAAAGAUCCAAGGGACUGGUAGGCAGCAACCAGUGGGAAUAGCAUUCUUCAUCAUCUGGACUAUUUUUGUAUUUUUUCUUUCUUAGGAUUGAGUGGUUGCCUAUGCUGUUUCCCAACUGAAGAGGACUACAACUGAUCAGAUUCCUUUGUGCACUCUCCCAGAUGUAUUGGUUUUGUAAUUGUGCUUUAAGAUCUUAGAAGGAAGAUCCUGGAUCCAGUGGACGAGACUGAAGCCUGCGAACCAGACUGAUCCCGUGACGUACCAGGUGACACAGACAGAAAAACCCCUCAUGCUGAAAUUUAAGAAGAAUACACCCUGCUGAGUCCUACCGGCAACGGACUCUCAAUGCACGGUGGUGAUCGUCAGCCUUGCUGAACCACCCCGGAAGCUGGUUCCCAGCGCACGGCCGAAGCUUGGAAUGGAGGAAGACAACAUUCCAUGACUGUAGUUUGUAAUGUAAAAUCCAUUAACUGUAAUAGAAUCCAGUGUGCACUACUUAAAGACACUCAUGCUAGAGGGAAAUUGGGUGUGGGGACUCUGGGCAACAGCUACUUUAGCCCUUUUGUUGGUAUUGUUUUAAUACAAUUGAUGUUGCCCUAUCCCAAGUUAGGCAUAUCCCUAACCCUCUUCUUGACGUGGUGAAUUUGUAAACUAUGGGUCUUGCGCUCUUAAGGCCUUGUGGGUGUUCAAGAAAUUCCCCUUGUCCCUAUAGAAGGAAUUAAAGAUGUCAAGAAUCCCAGGGGAACUAACAGCAUCAGGACACUGAAUGGGGACACUUUGGGUCAAGUCCACUCCCGCCAACAACAUGGUAUCAGACGGUGGAGGGAAGCCUUAGACCUAAACCAACUCCUAGACCUGGGAUCAAGAGUUUAACAAUCCCGGUAGAGGGGGGAAUAGAAAAGGAGAACGGACCCCUACAACAAUUGAAAAGAGGAAAUUGCAUAUCAGGGAUACUAGAAUUGGGUCGAAACCUUGUUAAAUCAUAGGGUCACCUUCCCUGUGUGUAAAGAAACAUCAGAAACCUGGUAGGCCUAUAGGAUCCCUGACAAAAGAACUAUGUCCAUCAGAAGUGUACCUUGGUCCUAGAAUGAACCUUAGGGAUGUAAAAUUAACCAAAGAUCUUUUUCCUUCUGCACACCACUCACUUUCUCAUCACCACCAACUGCCAUCAUCACAAGAUGGGGAGGAUGGAAGAGGUCCUGGAAGGUAUCCAAGGAAAGGUGCACUAGUCUGUUCCAGCCCCCUCGCUUCACAAUCUGGCUCUCCAUUAGGUCCAACACAGGUUUAUGUGUCUUCUUUCCCCCUGUUUGAAGGACCAAUUCUCAGAGAUAAACAAAAGGACCCUUCACUAGAAGUCUCAUUGCAACCACUGGCAGGAAUGUUUGUGGCAGGGACUUUGGGGGUCUGGACUAAUGAAAACUACCGUAAGAUCCAUGCUUUCUCCAUGAACAUAGGAGGUAUGUGUGUAUUUCUGGGAAAAGACUGUUGUUUCUAUAUGAAUAAGUCAGGUGUGGUCAGAGAAGGUGCUAAAGAAUUACAAGAAAGGGCUUCCAAGAUAAGCCACAGGUUACAGACAUCAGAUAUGUGGUUUUCUUGGGUGCCAGGUUCUGGAUGGAUUAAACAAAUGAUAUUCUUGUUCAUAUGUGCGAUAGCUGGUCUAGCAUUCAUCCCAUGUGUAAUCCCAAUACUCAGACAACUAUCAAUAAAAGCAGUAAAGGAGAUUCAAGUUGAGAAGGAACUAGCUUUGACAGAACAUUUUCUUAAUCAACUUGGUCCCUAUACUGUGGAAGAACCUACAGAUUCUGAGCCAGAACCAUAUGUGGAAAUGGGACCAGUGGAAAGAUGGAGAGAAUCUAAGAAUCAAGAGAAUAGACACAAUCAUGUAUAACUUGUUAUUUGCCUUUAUUACUUAUAUUUUGUUAGAACUUAUAUAUUGUAGAUUUGUUUAUUGGAACCUUGUAUACUCACUUGUUACACUUAUAAUAGAAUAGUGGAAGUUUAUGCAUAGAAAAACUUCCAGAGGGGGGAAUAAUGUAGGUAAGCGGAUCCAGCUGGAUGAUCACUGAAGGGCCCUCUUUAUUCAUAGUAUUGUAGGAAAGGAAAUGUGCUUGUUUAAGGGAAGCCAAUUAUCCAGUUGAAAGGCAGAGAAUUCCUUUGAAGUAGAAACAUUCAGAAGGGCCUCUCAGUUGUCAGAAAUAGAGAUAUUUGGUGAUAUACAGUUUGAAGGUUAAAAUAGAUCAAAGGAUAACCACAUGUAAUAUCAACAAGAGAUAAUUUGAAUCUAUGCUUCAGUGAUUUACAAGAUGAAUUAUGACUGUUUGGCAAGAAUAAUAUGAAAUUUAGUAAUCAGGAAAUGUCAAUUAAAUAUAACAAAUGUAUAUGACCACAUAAACUGCUGUGUUAGCAGAAUCCUUUGUCUUAGAAGGGUAUAAAACCAUUGUAACUAAUUUCUGUCUUUGUUCAACGCUUCACGUACAAACGAGCUUUGAACCUAUUGCGCAAUAUACUGUCUCUGACUAACCCGGAAAAGUUGUGUUGGUCUAAUUAAUCCACAACAUUUAAGCUGAUUUAAAGACUGCAAAAGAGAUCUGGUUGAAAUUAAGAAAUGUGCGUGUGAGUUUCUCUGCAUGCAAUAUUGUACAAUUAUCAAGAAAAUUAUACAGAGCCAGUUUACAACCAGGGGAAUCUGUAGAACAACAUUUUGUACGAAUGCAAACUUUGUUUGUAGAAUUGGAACAGCGUGGCAUUCAGGUUCCCAAGGUGUUGCUAGUGUUAAACAGUCUUGAUGAAAUGUGGGACAUUGUUUCUGCAGUAUUUGAGUACAAACCAGAGCAGGAGUUGUAUUUGGAGGCUUUAAAGGCUUGUUUGAUUGUUGAGGAACAGAAAUGCCAUUAUCAAAAAAGCCAAGAGGAGGAAUUCCUGAAGUGGGGGCCCAAGGAGCAGAGUGAUAAUCCCUGAAAAGUCUUUGAAUGCUUUUAUUAUCUAUAUAAAUCUCAUUUCCUCUUGCAUUUUAAUUAUUCUUUUCUUUUCUUAAUUUCUUUUCUUAAUUUAUAUGCCAGCCAUCUCCCUGGUUUUGUAUAUUUUAAUUUCUACAUCUGGAACCAUCAGCAUAAUAACUUGUCGCAAAAAUUUUAAUUCAUAGGUAUUUAUUGAUGAAAUGAGUAAUGCUUUCUGAGACAAUGAAUAUGAGGUGUUUUUUUUUUUGCUACCAGUAGCUGUGCUGGUACUUUUUUUUAGCACAAGUAUGAAUUGAACUGAUGACAUCACAUCUUGCUUAUAUGUAGAAAAAAACCCAGGAAGGUGGGGUAGAAAUAGCAUUGUGGUUAAAAACUCUCUUUUAAAAGUCUCUAAUUUUUAACUAUCCAAAUGUGGGUGACACCUGCCAUGAAGUACAUAUAUGGCUGUAUCCCAAACCAUCGAAGAUAUUGUUCAUGUUUUAUUCGACUGUCAACUAUAUACCUUCUUAAACUUAGAUAGUUAACAUCCCUACUUGAAAGGAUAGCCUAUUGGGAUCUGAAAUGCAAAUUGUCCUAUUUCCACUUCGGGUCUAAUGUAAACGUUGUGAGCAGAACCAUUAAGUUAACUGAUAAAUGAAACAGUUAACCUAAGAACACUGUAUCAAAGAGAUUGGUAUAUCCUGUAAGGGAGAUGUGUUCUCUGGACUAUUGACUCUUUGUAUUUAGCACAUAAUGUAUUUUAUUACUGUAUUUUCCUUUUAUCUAUUUUAUUCUGACUUCAUAUCCUCUAUUUUAUUUUUUAAAAUGUUUUUGCUAUGGAUGUAAGACUAAUCAAUAAAUAAAGUAUCCAUCUAUAUAAAGUGGAAUGGAAUGCCCGCAAGUAAUAUCCUUAUUUUUAAAAAUGCUUUUGGGAUAGUAUAGUAUUUUAAAGUCAACCUGUUUCUGGAUUCUUCUCUUAAAAUAAAGGCUCAUUCAUUGUUGAUGAAA